AUAAGAGUACUUCAGACACAGGGUUGCCCUAGUAACGGCGAGUGAAGCGGCAACAGCUCAAAUUUGAAAUCUGGCGUCUUUGGCGUCCGAGUUGUAAUUUGCAGAGGGCGCUUUGGCAUUGGCAGCGGUCCAAGUUCCUUGGAACAGGACGUCACAGAGGGUGAGAAUCCCGUACGUGGUCGCUAGCCUUUGCCGUGUAAAGCCCCUUCGACGAGUCGAGUUGUUUGGGAAUGCAGCUCUAAAUGGGAGGUAAAUUUCUUCUAAAGCUAAAUACUGGCCAGAGACCGAUAGCGCACAAGUAGAGUGAUCGAAAGAUGAAAAGCACUUUGGAAAGAGAGUUAAAAAGCACGUGAAAUUGUUGAAAGGGAAGCGCUUGCAGCCAGACUUGCCUGUAGUUGCUCAUCCGGGUUUCUACCCGGUGCACUCUUCUAUAGGCAGGCCAGCAUCAGUUUGGGCGGUUGGAUAAAGGUCUCUGUCAUGUACCUCCUUUCGGGGAGAACUUAUAGGGGAGACGACAUGCAACCAGCCUGGACUGAGGUCCGCGCAUCUGCUAGGAUGCUGGCGUAAUGGCUGUAAGCGGCCCGUCUUGAAACACGGACCAAGGAGUCUAACAUCUAUGCGAGUGUUUGGGUGUCAAGCCCGAGCGCGUAAUGAAAGUGAACGGAGGUGGGAACCUUUCGGGGUGCACCAUCGACCGAUCCUGAUGUCUUCGGAUGGAUUUGAGUAAGAGCAUAGCUGUUGGGACCCGAAAGAUGGUGAACUAUGCUUGAAUAGGGUGAAGCCAGAGGAAACUCUGGUGGAGGCUCGCAGCGGUUCUGACGUGCAAAUCGAUCGUCAAAUUUGGGCAUAGGGGCGAAAGACUAAUCGAACUAUCUAGUAGCUGGUUCCUGCCGAAGUUUCCCUCAGAUAGCAGUAACGUUUUCAGUUUUAUGAGUAAAGCGAAUGAUUAGAGGCCUGGGGGUUGAAACAACCUUCACCUAUUCUCAACUUUAAAUAUGUAAGA
rnacentral:rRNA from 1 species